UACGUAGGGGGCUAGCGUUGUCCGGAUUUAUUGGGCGUAAAGAGCGUGUAGGCGGCCAGAUAGGUCUGCUGUGAAAACUCGAGGCUCAACCUCGAGAUGUCGGCGGAAACCAUUUGGCUAGAGUCCUGAAGAGGAAAGUGGAAUUCCUGGUGUAGCGGUGAAAUGCGCAGAUAUCAGGAAGAACACCCGUGGCGAAGGCGGCUUUCUGGGACGGUACUGACGCUGAGACGCGAAAGCGUGGGGAGCGAACAGG
rnacentral:rRNA from 1 species